CCUACGGGAGGCAGCAGUGGGGAAUAUUGGGCAAUGGGCGCAAGCCUGACCCAGCAACGCCGCGUGAAGGAAGAAGGCUUUCGGGUUGGAAACUUCUUUUCUCAGGGACGAAGCAAGUGACAGUAGCUGAGGAAUACGCCUCGGCUAACUACGUGCCAGCAGCCGCGGUAAUACGUAGGUGGCAAGCGUUAUCCGGAUUCACUGGGUGUACAGGGCGUGUAGGCGGGAAGGCAAGGCAGAUGUGAAAACCAUGGGCCAAACCUGUGGCCUGCAUUUGAAACUGGUUUUCUUGAGUACUGGAGAGGCAGACGGAAUUCGUGGUGUAGCGGUGAAAUGCGUAGAUAUUAGGAGGAACACCAGUGGCGAAGGAGGCCUGCUGGACAGAAACUGACGCUGAGGCGCGAAAGCGUGGGGAGCAAACAGGAUUAGAUACCCUGGUAGUC
rnacentral:rRNA from 1 species